rnacentral:rRNA from 1 species
ACUCCUACGGGAGGCAGCAGUGAGGAAUAUUGGUCAAUGGACGAAAGUCUGAACCAGCCAUGCCGCGUGCAGGAUGACUGCCCUCUGGGUUGUAAACUGCUUUUAUACGAGGGUAAUUUGAGUUACGUGUAACUUAUUGAAAGUAUCGUAUGAAUAAGGAUCGGCUAACUCCGUGCCAGCAGCCGCGGUAAUACGGAGGAUUCGAGCGUUAUCCGGAUUUAUUGGGUUUAAAGGGUGCGUAGGCGGUUUAGUAAGUUAGUGGUGAAAAGCAGUUGCUUAACAAUUGUCGUGCCAUUAAUACUGUUAGACUAGAAUUUAGUUGAAGUGGGCGGAAUAUGUAGUGUAGCGGUGAAAUGCUUAGAUAUUACAUAGAACGCCAAUUGCGAAGGCAGCUCACUAAGCUAUAAUUGACGCUGAUGCACGAAAGCGUGGGGAUCAAACAGGAUUAGAUACCCUGGUAGUCCACGCCGUAACGAUGAUAACUCGCUAUUGGCGAUACACAGUCAGUGGCUUAGCGAAAGCGUUAAGUUAUCCACCUGGGGAGUACGACCGCAAGGUUGAAACUCAAAGGAAUUGA